CGCUAAAGAAGAAAUGCUGCUGAAACUAACAGUACCAGACAAGCUUGAUGUCAGCCAGGCCCCAGGAUGCCACGUACCUGACUGCUUCCCAAGUUCUUUCGACACCUGCCAUUGAGAGGGAGGACCCCACCAAAUCUGCACGAGCUCUGAUGACUGGCCUGGAACCAGCAGAACACAGCAGGUGUGAAGAUGCUGCGUGUUAUGCAAAGCCAUGUCAGAGGCGCAAGUGCCUCUCCAGUUCAGGCCGCGCUCGGGGUGCAGCCGCUGUCACCUUGAGACUGUCCCUGCAGGACCCCCAUGAGACCUCUGGCCAACUUCCAGUCUUCUCAGACGCAACAUCCACGAAGCCCUGGGGGACCACAGCCGUCCACACCCAGGCCAGGCCACAGGACAGAUCCCUCGGCAGAUGCUCCCCAUUUCUAACCCACUAGCACAUGAGCAAGUCAAACGGUGGCUGGUGACACCACGGAGCGUGAGUGGUCUCAACAGCAGGAAGAACCGAAGCCCUGGAUGCAAAGCUGCCUGAAUACCUGUGAGAUGCCAGGAGGGGGACAGGAAGUGGUAAGGACCCAAAUAGCCACCGUGGGGCGCAGGAGAGGAUGGUCUGGAGCCUCAGCAGCUCUGGUUGGAAGACAAAGGCUGCCUUCUUGAAGCUCCUCUUCCUUCCUAAAUCUUCCCUUCUCCCUACCUGCCCACCUCUACCUUCCUAAGGGCUUGCGCUUGGAAAGCAUGGCAAUCCCCACUGGUAAAGCUGAUCUGCGGCGCCAAUGGGGAAUGGCAUCCGACCAGUGCAGCCCGAUGCUCUGCCUCCAAGCCACACCUCCAGGAGGCUGUUUUCCCAACUUCACUGCUGACAACCCCCUUCUGACAGUAUUUUCCUUAAGGCAUUCUCAAGGAGGCCUCCGACUUCUCAAGGCACCAUUUCUUUAAAGCCCCUUUGCAAAUCUCUCCUGACCCGCUGUGUGCUGAUUUUACAGCUUCCUUUUAGAGGUAGUCUCAUUUAUGCAUUUUCACCUGCACAGCUGUCACGAUGCUUAUAUUCUUGGGGACUGUCUUUUUCAUCCCCUUGCACUACCCUUGUAUCCUCCCGUGUGUAGAAUAAAACACCUUCGCUGAUUGCCAAAUUGGAACUUCCUGGCAGAAAUGCUUAAAAAAUUGUUUGUUUCAGUAAGUUAACAAAAGCUAGUCCAUGUAGGAGAAGAAAAACUGACAUUACUCACCACUGACAAAUAAAAACUGCUCCCAGCUCUGCGUUACUGCCUACAGCAAUAAAAGCCUGGCAGGGGAUUCAGCAAAAACA